ACGAAGCAGAUUCUAAAUUAUUGCAUAUCAACACUCAUUCCACCUGUUGUACGUGAGGAGAAAAGGUCAGUUCUGCAGAAAGCAGCUGGAAAACAAGGGCGUCUGAAGGGAGCAGGGGCUGCUCCAUCCGGCAGCUGACACAGCCAGACCCGUGCACCGGGCUCCAGUCACCAGCGCAGAUGUGUCAGUUAAAUUUAUAUGUAAGCUCGUUGAGGAAAACAACUGCCAAACAACGCAAACUAGAGACAGCAUCCACUACAGGCCGCACGCCGAGGUGGUGAGCUUUGGGCGCCCAAGCCCUCGCCAACCCCUGCACCUCUGAACCAUCCACCCGGGGCUCCAGCUGUCCUGGG
rnacentral:lncRNA from 1 species